GAACGCGAAGAACCUUACCAAGUCUUGACAUCCUUUGACCACUCUAGAGAUAGAGCUUUCCCUUCGGGGACAAAGUGACAGGUGGUGCAUGGUUGUCGUCAGCUCGUGUCGUGAGAUGUUGGGUUAAGUCCCGCAACGAGCGCAACCCUUAUUACUAGUUGCCAGCAUUCAGUUGGGCACUCUAGUGAGACUGCCGGUGACAAACCGGAGGAAGGUGGGGAUGACGUCAAAUCAUCAUGCCCCUUAUGACUUGGGCUACACACGUGCUACAAUGGAUGGUACAACGAGCAGCGAACUCGCGAGGGUAAGCGAAUCUCUUAAAGCCAUUCUCAGUUCGGAUUGUAGGCUGCAACUCGCCUACAUGAAGCCGGAAUCGCUAGUAAUCGCGGAUCAGCACGCCGCGGUGAAUACGUUCCCGGGUCUUGUACACACC
rnacentral:rRNA from 1 species